AUUACUUUGGCAGAAUAGUGCAAUAAAUUUAGGAUUUAUAAAUAUAUAUAUAUAUAAUAUAUAUAAGUAAUA
rnacentral:tRNA from 1 species